AACGAACGCUGGCGGCAGGCCUAACACAUGCAAGUCGAGCGCCCCGCAAGGGGAGCGGCGCACGGGUGCCUAACGCGUGGGAAUAUGCCCUUGGGUGCGGAACAACGUCUGGAAACGGACGCUAAUACCGCAUAAUGACUCCGGUCCAAAGAUUUAUCGCCCAAGGAUUAGCCCGCGUUGGAUUAGCUAGUUGGUGAGGUAACGGCUCACCAAGGCAACGAUCCAUAGCUGGUCUGAGAGGAUGAUCAGCCACACUGGAACUGAGACACGGUCCAGGCUCCUACGGGAGGCAGCAGUGAGGAAUAUUGGACAAUGGGCGAAAGCCUGAUCCAGCCAUGCCGCGUGAGUGAUGAAGGCCUUCGGGUCGUAAAGCUCUUUCGGUUGUGAAGAUUAUGACGGUAGCAACAGAAGAAGCCCCGGCUAAAUUCGUGCCAGCAGCCGCAGUAA
rnacentral:rRNA from 1 species